GGAGCACCUGCUUCCUCAGCUUAUUUGGAUGUCAACUCUCCCUCCACCUGGCAAGAAAGAAAGAAGAGCAUCCUGUGUAAGCAUGCCAGGUCACCACAGACAGCAAGAAUCCAUACCUUGCUGAAUCCAGGAGAAGGCCAAUGCUGCCCAGGGGAAGCCACCUCUUCAACCCUCAGCAAGAAGGAAGAAAGUUGUGCCAUGUGAAGACAGUGAGGGACAGGCUGGUAAGAGAUCCAAGGCUUCACUGCUUCACUGAGUGGUGCGGUUCAUGCAGUCAUACUUGUCCUCUUGCAUGCACCAAGGCUACCUUUCUGUACAGGGCUGAACUUUUUCUUUUCCUCAUUGUUGGAGGUGAAUGUUGGUUCCCCAAAAAGUAUGUGUACAUGCUUUAAUUUAUGGGAUCUGUGAAUGUUAUCUCAUUUCACAUAGAAAGGCUACAAUUAAAUUAAAUAUCCAGAUGAUAAAUUAUCUGGAUAAGCUCUAAAUCCAAUGAUAAGUGAGAAAGAGAAAAAUCUGAGAC